UGAAAUGAAGGCCGUUGACCUGCUGCCACUCCCUCCUCCUCCUACCUCCCGAGCUCGCACCUACAGUCCUCGCCUGAUCGCCUCCGGUCUCCUCUCCCGAUGGACGCCGUCGCCUUCUCCUCCGCUUCGAACCCCAACGCCGCGCCAUUCCCCUCCGCCUCCCCGUCCUCCGGCGCCCACCGCUUCUCCAUCCGCGGCCCGCGGCGGCGGCG
rnacentral:lncRNA from 1 species